rnacentral:rRNA from 1 species
UACGUAGGGUGCAAGCGUUAAUCGGAAUUACUGGGCGUAAAGCGUGCGCAGGCGGCUUUGCAAGACAGAUGUGAAAUCCCCGGGCUUAACCUGGGAACUGCAUUUGUGACUGCAUGGCUGGAGUGCGGCAGAGGGGGAUGGAAUUCCGCGUGUAGCAGUGAAAUGCGUAGAUAUGUGGAGGAACACCGAUGGCGAAGGCAAUCCCCUGGGCCUGCACUGACGCUCAUGCACGAAAGCGUGGGGAGCAAACAGG